CGCCUCCCCGGUGCCGGAAGGUUAAUUGAUGGGGUUAUCUUCGGAGAAGCUCUUGAUCGAAGCCCCGGUAAACGGCGGCCGUAACAAUAACGGUCCUAAGGUAGCGAAAUUCCUUGUCGGGUAAGUUCCGACCUGCACGAAUGGCGUAAUCAUGGCCACGCUGUCUCCACCCAAGACUCAGUGAAAUUGAAAUUGCAGUGAAGAUGCUGUGUACCCGCACCUAGACGGAAAGACCCCGUGAACCUUUACUAUAGCUUGGCACUGAACAUUGACCCUACAUGUGUAGGAUAGGUGGGAGACUUUGAAGCAUUGUCGCUAGAUGAUGUGGAGUCUACCUUGAAAUACCACCCUUGUAGGUUUGAUGUUCUAACAUUGG
rnacentral:rRNA from 11 species